GAUCAUGGCUCAGGAUGAACGCUAGCUACAGGCUUAACACAUGCAAGUCGAGGGGCAGCAUGGUAUUAGCUUGCUAAGACUGAUGGCGACCGGCGCACGGGUGAGUAACACGUAUCCAACCUGCCGUCUACUCUUGGACGGCCUUCUGAAAGGAAGAUUAAUACAAGAUGGCAUCAUGAGUCCGCAUGUUCACAUGAUUAAAGGUAUUCCGGUAGACGAUGGGGA
rnacentral:rRNA from 1 species